rnacentral:tRNA from 1 species
AGUAAAGUAAACUAAAAAAGUUUUUGGAUUCAUAAUCCAACCAUGGUUCUCCCUUUAUUA